GGAGGAGUACCCAAGUGGCUGAAGGGGACGGUUUGCUAAAUCGUUAGGGGGGCGAAAGUCCUCGCGAGAGUUCGAAUCUCUCCUCCUCCGCCA
rnacentral:tRNA from 1 species